GACGAACGCUGGCGGCGUGCUUAACACAUGCAAGUCGAGCGGAAAGGCCCUUUCGGGGGUACUCGAGCGGCGAACGGGUGAGUAACACGUGAGUAAUCUGCCCUUCACUCUGGGAUAGCCCUCCGAAAGGGGGAUUAAUACCGGAUACGACCACGGACCGCAUGGUGUGUGGUGGAAACUUUUUGGGUGGGGGAUGUGCUCGCGGCCUAUCAGCUUGUUGGUGGGGUAAUGGCCUACCAAGGCUUCGACGGGUAGCCGGCCUGAGAGGGUGACCGGCCACACUGGGACUGAGACACGGCCCAGACUCCUACGGGAGGCAGCAGUGGGGAAUAUUGGACAAUGGGCGGAAGCCUGAUCCAGCAACGCCGCGUGAGGGAUGACGGCCUUCGGGUUGUAAACCUCUUUCAGCUCCGGCGAAGCUGCCCUUUUUUGGGGGUGGUGACGGUAGGGGCAGAAGAAGGACCGGCCAACUACGUGCCAGCAGCCGCGGUAAGAC
rnacentral:rRNA from 1 species